rnacentral:lncRNA from 1 species
AUAGCAGCUUUAUUAUAAGAAAAGAAACUAUGUCCAUUAGCAGGUAAAUGGACAAACUGUAGUCUAAUCUUGCAAUGGAAUUCUACAGCAGCACUAACAAGGAAUGUAUGAUUCCUAUACCCAGCAAUAUAGAUGAAUCUCAAAAUAAUUGUCCUAAGUAAAGAAAUAAGACAAAAAAGAGAGUAAAUAAUAUAUUAUUUCAUUUAUAUAAAAUUCUAGAAAACACAAUUAACCUAUAGUGACAGAAAGCAGACCAGUAGCUGCCUGACAAGAUGAAUAAAAGCAUGGAGGGAUGGAUUACAAAGGGCUAUGAGACAACUUUUGGAGCUGAUAGCUAUAUUCAUUACCUUGAUUAUGGUGAUUCCAUGGGUUUAUAUAGAGGUUGCGGAUAAACCAUAUACUUUAUUUUUUUUAUUUUUAUUUUUUGCUUUUUAGGGCUGCACUUGCGGCACAUGGAGGUUCCCAGGCUAGGGGGUUGAAUCAGAGCUGUAAAAAGACAAUAAAUAAAUGAAUAAAUAGAAACAACUUGAUUUUUUUAAUCCCCAUCCUCACUCAGUGGGUUAAAGGAUCUGGUGUUGCUGCAAAAAAUGUUAACUGUGUUUAAGGGAGGUAAGUAGAAGGAAGAAUGGUGGUAUUAAUAUUGGAGAGUUAAAGUACUAUCUAAGGUCGAAAUACUAUCUAGAGUUUUACAGUGUACUAUUAAAAGUUACAAAGAUAACCCAAAAAAGAGAAAAUUAAUGUAACUUAAAUAUUGGAAGACUAGAUGUUAACAUAAUCCUUAUCUUUUGUGCCAGGGAGUUGUUAGAUGCUGUCUAAAGCUGACACUGUAUUUAGAAGUACAGUAAUCACAAACAAAGACAUUGCGAGAGGCUGUCCCUGUGGACCAGUCCUAAAGGUAGAAAGGAUUAGCAUGAGAUUUGUUGCUGUUCAUCAUCAAUUCUUUUGUGCUUUUUGAUUGGUUACAAUCUAUUUGUUCCCUUUUAUUUGUUGUUAACUGUAUAUUUCUUUGAAAAAAAAUUAGAGAAUGGUUUUUCUGUUUAUAUGGAAACAAUAUUUUAUAUAUCAACCUUAUCCAGGUUGACUCUCUAAAGUAUGUCAGGGCUUAUUUCAGAUCUUUUAAAAUGAAAUUGCAAGGACACCAAGACUCUUGGACUAAGUAAAUGGUUGUUCUACUGAUAUUUUAUUUUCUAACCCUAAAUGAUAUUUAAUUCUCUACCUAUACUAUUUCCAGCCCUCUGCUUAUGAGAUUUCUUUUUUUUAAGUGUCUGAGUAGUUCUUUUCCUCUAUUUCUGUAGAAUACAGUUUUGCCUCAAACUAGAUUACUGAAUCUGAAAGGGGAGGUAUCCCGGCUCCUGCUUAUUACCAAAUUUGGGAUAGAACUGAUUACCCAUUGUUUAGAAGGAAUUGAAAAAUCAUUGUUUAAUCUGAAAGGUAGGCCACUGUGGCAUAUUACUGCCACCACUUGGUAGCACACCUUAAUUGCAAGAGUAGAAAAGAAGAGAAAAUCAUUUCUGAUUUUUGUUAAAUUUAACAAUAUAAGCAACAGCAAAUAUCCUAUAGCCAAGUGAAAAAUGCAAAGGAAGAACACUUGAUUUUGAGACAGUAAAAUGAGACAGUGGUCAUUGUCCUUAAGAUACUGUGUUAUAGAUAUUCAUGUGGUUUAUAGAGGUAGUCAAAGCGAAGAGUAAGAAGGCAUAAUCAGAAGACUUCUCUUUAGUCUAAGUAUCCAGUAGCUGUACCUGGAACUCUGUAAAAGAGGCAGAAAAAGGGAAGAAUCAUGAAUCAAAUGGUACUUUGAAAAGUUUUUCUUACAAGAUAUAUAGGAGGAAAAUAAUAAAACUAGGACAAAUGUAAUAAGAAAAGAACUAAAUAAAUGAAGAGAUGGAUAAAAAGACUCAAUAUCAUCAAGAUGUCUGUUCUUUCCAAAUUAAUCUAGAGAUUCAAUGCAAUCCAAAUCAAAAUUCCAGCAAGCUAUUUUAUGGCUACAAAAAAACUGAUUUUGAAGUUUAUAUAGAGAGGCAGAAGACCCUGAAUAGCCAACAUAAUGUUGAAGCAGAAGAACAAAGAUGGAGGCCUAAUGCUACCUGACUUCAAAACUUACUAUUAAGCUACAGUAAUCAAGACAGUUGUGAUACUGGCAAAAGAAUAGACAAAUAGAUCAACAGAAGAUAAUAGCCCAGUAAACCCCUAUAAAUAUAAUCAACUUAUCUUUGACAAAGGAGCAAAGAGGCUAUAGAGUAAAGAUAGUCUUUUCAAUAAACGUUGCUGGAAAAACUGGGUCAUCCACAUGCAAAAAAAGAAAAAAAAAAAAAAGGAAUCAGACACAGGUCUUACAUCCUCCACAAAAAAUUAACUCAAAAUGGAUAAUGGACCUAAUGUAAAAUGCAAAACUAUAAAACUCCUAGACAAUAAGAGAAAACCUAGAUGACUUUAGCUAUGAUGAUACCUUUUAGAUACAACACCAAAAAUACAAUCCGUAAAAGAAAUAAUCGAUAAACUAGAUUUCAGUAAAAUUAAAAACUAUUCUACAAAAGACAAUGUCAAGAGAAUCAGAAGAUGAGCCACAGACUGUGAGGGAAGAUUUGCAAAAGACAUAUCUGAUAAAGGAACUAUUAUUACCCAGAAUAUAUAAAGAACUCUUAAAAUUCAAUAGCAAGAAAACAAACAACCAAGUUUAAAAAUGGGCCAAAGACCUUAACAGACAUCUCAUCAAAGAAGAUAAACAAUGGCAAAUAUACUUAUGAAAAGAGAUUCUACAUGAUUUGUCAUCGGAGAAAUGCAAAUUAAAACAAAGAGUUAUCACUAUACGCCUAUUAGAAUGGCAAAAUCUGGAACACUAACAGCAAAUGCUGGUGAAGAUAUGGAACAACAAACUCCCUUACAUUGCUGUUGGGAAUACAAAGUGGUACAGUCACUGUGGAAGACAAUUUUUCAGUUUCUUGCAAAACUAGAGACACUCUUACCAUAUGAUCCAGCCAUCACACUAGUGUGAUUUCUAAGGAGUUGAAAAUAUGUCCACACAAAGAUCUGUAUAGGAAUGAUUAUAGCAGCUUUAUUUGUAAUUGCCAAAACUUGGAAGCAACCAAGUUUUCCCUCAGUAGGUGAAUGGAUAAAUAAACUGUGGUACAUCUGGACAAUGAAUUAUUAUUCAGCACUAAAAAGAAAUGAAAAAAAAAAAAAAAGUCAGGAGUCAGGGGAGUUCACGCUGCGGUGCAGUGUGUCAAGAACUCAGCUGUAGCAGGUUGGGUUGUUGCAGAGGUGUGGGUUCAGUCCCCAGCCUGGGAACUUCCAUAUGCCAUGGGUGGAACCAUUAAAAAAAAAAAAAAAAAAA